CAUGUCUAAGUUCAUAUCGAUUUAAAAGAUGAAACUGCGAAGGGCUCAGUAACUCWGUUAUCGUCCGUUCGAUCAUACAAGCCAUGGAUAACUGUGGCAAAUCUAGAGCUAAUACAUGCAAAUUCCGACAGCAAUGUUGGUGCAUUUAUUGGACUGAACCGACAGGAGUUUACUCUUGCAGGUGAAUCUAGAUAACUUUGCAUAUCGCACGGUUUUACCGGUGAUAGUUCGAUCGAAUUUCUGCCCUAUCAACUWGUUGGUAAGGUAGUGGCCUACCAAGGUUGUGACGGGUAACGGGGAAUCAGGGUUCGAUUCCGGAGAGGGAGCCUGAGAAACGGCUACCACAUCUAAGGAAGGCAGCAGGCGCGCAAAUUACCCAAUCCAGACAUUGGGAGGUAGUGACGAGAAAUACCAAAGUGUGCCCUAAAAGGUUUCACUAUUGGAAUGAACGUAACAUAGUACCUUCGCUGAGUACCUACUGGAGGGCAAGUCUGGUGCCAGCAGCCGCGGUAAUUCCAGCUCCAGUAGUGUAUAUCAAAAUUGUUGCGGUUAAAACGCUCGUAGUUGGAUUACAAAAGUCUGGCGUCAAUUGAGCAUUAGUUUGGUUGGCGUCGGGCUUUUUUAUCGCAAGAACCACUUGUGCACUUUAUUGUGUGUGGGUGGCCACUUGCGGAGCGUGCCUUGAAUAAAGCACAGUGCUCAAAGCAGGCGUAACGCUUGAAUGUUAUAGCAUGGAACGAAUAACCUGACCUAGUUCAGUUAGUUGGUUCUCUGAACCGGGUCCUGAUUAAAAGGGACAUUUGAGGGCGUUAGUACUUGGUGGCGAGAGGUGAAAUUCUUAGACCCACCAAAGACUCACUAAUGCGAAAGCAUUCGCCAAGAAUGUUUUCAUUGAUCAAGAACGAAAGUUAGAGGUUCGAAGACGAUCAGAUACCGUCCUAGUUCUAUACAGUAAACUAUGCCACCACGGGAUCAGUCCGGAAAACGAUCCAG
rnacentral:rRNA from 1 species